GCGCCCGGGGAGCGGCGGGGCCGGGCCGGGGCACCGGGGGCGGCGGCGCCGGGCUCGGAGCCAAGAACAUCCCAAAGUGCCUCCUCACCCUCAUGGACAGCAGGAAUGUCUUCCAUGGCUCCUGUUUAGGAAUGGCAGUGGCUGUUGGGAGCUCUGGCAGGAGCACCUGGAGUCCAGCAGGGAGACAUUUAAACAGGAGGUGCCAAAAAGAAUUGGAGCUUCUGCACAAUGAAAUCUGCCAGAAUCCAACUUCAAAUCCCCCUGGAUUGUCACCGGGCCAACUUCCAUGGACUGGUCACCAUGGCCAGCAGUGUCCAAUCCUGCUGGAAAUGCACUGGACCAGGAUGUCAUUUUCAUUUUAUGCUGGUAAAGACCCUCUGGGUGACCCCCAGUGACUGGGAGGACCAGACUGGGCUCCCAGGGCACUAAUUCCAGGAGUUCUGUUUUUGGGAAUAGCACAGGAGCCCUUCCCUUGCCCAGAGGAGCAGCAAGUGCCUCGAAUCCCCAGGAUGGACCACAGAGAAAAUAACAGGAAUAUGGAAAUCCCCUACACUGGGAGUUUGUGGUGCUCUGGAUUACAUUUUGGAUUUAAAAUGUUAAAGGGGGGUGUGGAGGGGCUUUUCUCUCUCUCCUGUUCAUUAUUGUUCUCACUGCUCUUGUUGCUCUCACUGUUAUUAUGUGUUGU